AAUUAUUUAAAAAAUAGGUAACAAUUGGGAGACCAUUAACAAAGAUAUUUAUUAAUAUUAAAAGAAUCAAUACUUUACUUAAUUAUGAAUAUUUAUUUUUUGGUAUCAAAUCAUAUAUCAGCUACAAAAGCACAUAUCAGGUAACAAUCCACGUAUCGACUAACAUAUCAAAUAACAAUUCAUGCAUCAACUAACAAACUAUGU
rnacentral:lncRNA from 1 species